rnacentral:rRNA from 1 species
GGUCAAGUGAAGAAGCGCAUACGGUGGAUGCCUUGGCAGUCAGAGGCGAUGAAAGACGUGGUAGCCUGCGAAAAGCUUCGGGGAGUCGGCAAACAGACUUUGAUCCGGAGAUGUCUGAAUGGGGGAACCCAGCCAUCAUAAGAUGGUUAUCUUGUACUGAAUACAUAGGUGCAAGAGGCGAACCAGGGGAACUGAAACAUCUAAGUACCCUGAGGAAAAGAAAUCAACCGAGAUUCCCUUAGUAGUGGCGAGCGAACGGGGACUAGCCCUUAAGUGGCUUUGAGAUUAGCGGAACGCUCUGGAAAGUGCGGCCAUAGUGGGUGAUAGCCCUGUACGCGAAAAUCUCUUAGUCAUGAAAUCGAGUAGGACGGAGCACGAGAAACUUUGUCUGAAUAUGGGGGGACCAUCCUCCAAGGCUAAAUACUACUGACUGACCGAUAGUGAACUAGUACCGUGAGGGAAAGGCGAAAAGAACCCCGGAGAGGGGAGUGAAAUAGAUCCUGAAACCGUAUGCGUACAAGCAGUGGGAGCCCACUUUGUUGGGUGACUGCGUACCUUUUGUAUAAUGGGUCAGCGACUUAUUUUCAGUGGCGAGCUUAACCGAAUAGGGGAGGCGUAGCGAAAGCGAGUCUUAAUAGGGCGUCUAGUCGCUGGGAAUAGACCCGAAACCGGGCGAUCUAUCCAUGGGCAGGUUGAAGGUUGGGUAACACUAACUGGAGGACCGAACCGACUACCGUUGAAAAGUUAGCGGAUGACCUGUGGAUCGGAGUGAAAGGCUAAUCAAGCUCGGAGAUAGCUGGUUCUCCUCGAAAGCUAUUUAGGUAGCGCCUCAUGUAUCACUGUAGGGGGUAGAGCACUGUUUCGGCUAGGGGGUCAUCCCGACUUACCAAACCGAUGCAAACUCCGAAUACCUACAAGUGCCGAGCAUGGGAGACACACGGCGGGUGCUAACGUCCGUCGUGAAAAGGGAAACAACCCAGACCGUCAGCUAAGGUCCCAAAGUUAUGGUUAAGUGGGAAACGAUGUGGGAAGGCUUAGACAGCUAGGAGGUUGGCUUAGAAGCAGCCACCCUUUAAAGAAAGCGUAAUAGCUCACUAGUCGAGUCGGCCUGCGCGGAAGAUGUAACGGGGCUCAAACCAUACACCGAAGCUACGGGUAUCACGUAAGUGAUGCGGUAGAGGAGCGUUCUGUAAGCCUGUGAAGGUGAGUUGAGAAGCUUGCUGGAGGUAUCAGAAGUGCGAAUGCUGACAUGAGUAACGACAAUGGGUGUGAAAAACACCCACGCCGAAAGACCAAGGUUUCCUGCGCAACGUUAAUCGACGCAGGGUUAGUCGGUCCCUAAGGCGAGGCUGAAAAGCGUAGUCGAUGGAAAACAGGUUAAUAUUCCUGUACUUCUGGUUAUUGCGAUGGAGGGACGGAGAAGGCUAGGCCAGCUUGGCGUUGGUUGUCCAAGUUUAAGGUGGUAGGCUG